AUUGUUUUAGACGGCGUUAACUACGUUUAACAGAAAUGAAGACGAUGUUAAUGUUUAAUUAAACAUGUGUCUAAUUUAUGAAAAAACAAUUCCUUAAAAAUACAUGAACUAAUUUUCAUUUGUUAAUAAAAUACACAAACUAUUUUGGAUCCCCAUUUAAUACACGAACUAAUUUUUGUUUCCUAUUUAAUACACAAACUUUUAAAAUUUGUAGAUUUUACACAUCGAUUUAAACGAUGCCAACUACAUUUAACAGAAAUGAC
rnacentral:lncRNA from 1 species